GCAGUCGACGGUAGCAGGAAGUGCUUGCACUUCGCUGACGAGUGGCGGACGGGUGAGUAAUACUUAGGAACAUGCCUUUGUGUGGGGGAUAACCAUUGGAAACGAUGGCUAAUACCGCAUAAUGUCUUUGGACCAAAGAGGGCUUUCGGGCUCUCGCGCAAAGAGUGGCCUAAGUGAGAUUAGCUUGUUGGUGAGGUAAAGGCUCACCAAGGCGACGAUCUCUAGCUGUUCUGAGAGGAAGAUCAGCCACACUGGGACUGAGACACGGCCCAGACUCCUACGGGAGGCAGCAGUGGGGAAUAUUGCACAAUGGGGGCAACCCUGAUGCAGCCAUGCCGCGUGUGUGAAGAAGGCCUUCGGGUUGUAAAGCACUUUCAGUUGUGAGGAAAGGUUGAUGGUUAAUACCCAUCAGCUGUGACGUUAGCAACAGAAGAAGCACCGGCUAACUCCGUGCCAGCAGCCGCGGUAAUACGGAGGGUGCGAGCGUUAAUCGGAAUUACUGGGCGUAAAGCGCACGCAGGCGGUUAUAUAAGCUAGAUGUGAAAGCCCCGGGCUCAACCUGGGAAUAGCAUUUAGAACUGUAUGACUAGAGUCUUGGAGAGGGGAGUGGAAUUCCAGGUGUAGCG
rnacentral:rRNA from 1 species